rnacentral:lncRNA from 1 species
UAGGGCUGUUUGUUUCUUGGGACUCGGCUACGUCCAGAGAGAGGUUGCGCUUUCUUCGGAGGACUGGGAACCGCAGCCCAAACACAGAGCUCUGUGGCUGUGACCGUCCAGAGGACACCAUUGAGGAGUAAGCUUUCUUCCGUCGCUUCCUGCGUGUGCUCUGACUACCGGGACCUGACGUGGAACUUCAAAAGCAAGGCAGAGCUCAGUACACCUGUGAGUAAAAACCCAGGACUGAAACGCGAUGGUGUCUGCCACUUUAGACUUCAUGCCCAAAUCCAAAACAAGAAGAAAGAGAACAGGAGAAAGGGUCAUUGAUUCUGCUUCAUCGGGAAAACAAAACACCUUCCCAGAAACCCUCUUAACAGUUUUCCAUUGAUACCCUGUUUAUACCUUGUUGGCAGAACCUGGGUCAUGUGGCCAUACCUAAGUGACAGAGGCUUGGAAAGUGGGAGCAAGACGAUCAUCUGUGGCUGGGCCAAUCAUCUUCCAUCUGUUAGGUGCGUGGGGGGUGUGAUAUCGAGUCGAAAAUAAGCAUUCAUUGUCACUCCGCCUAGGUGCUCUGAAUUGUAUUCCCCGGUUCUGGAAAUUUACUAUGAAAAGUUAUUUGAUAUUCAGUAGUUGUACUGGUAAUUCAAUCCAGUUUAUAUGUGUGUUGCUGUUUAAAGCG